rnacentral:rRNA from 1 species
UUUGGUUCGGGACAACUCUGGGAAACUGGAGCUAAUACCGGAUACGCCCUUUUGGGGAAAGGUUUACUGCCGAAGGAUCGGCCCGCGUCUGAUUAGCUAGUUGGUGGGGUAACGGCCUACCAAGGCGACGAUCAGUAGCUGGUCUGAGAGGAUGAUCAGCCACACUGGGACUGAGACACGGCCCAGACUCCUACGGGAGGCAGCAGUGGGGAAUAUUGGACAAUGGGCACAAGCCUGAUCCAGCCAUGCCGCGUGAGUGAUGAAGGCCUUAGGGUUGUAAAGCUCUUUUAUCCGGGACGAUAAUGACGGUACCGGAAGAAUAAGCCCCGGCUAACUUCGUGCCAGCAGCCGCGGUAAUACGAAGGGGGCUAGCGUUGCUCGGAAUCACUGGGCGUAAAGGGCGCGUAGGCGGCGUUUUAAGUCGGGGGUGAAAGCCUGUGGCUCAACCACAGAAUGGCCUUCGAUACUGGGACGCUUGAGUCUGGUAGAGGUUGGUGGAACUGCGAGUGUAGAGGUGAAAUUCGUAGAUAUUCGCAAGAACACCGGUGGCGAAGGCGGCCAACUGGACCGGCACUGACGC